rnacentral:rRNA from 1 species
CACAAGCGGUGGAUGAUGUGGUUAAUUCGAUGCAACGCGAAAACCUUACCACCUUUGACAUGUGCGGAAGUUGCCAGAGAUGGCUUCGUGCUCGAAAGAGAGCCGUAACACAGGUGCUGCAUGGCUGUCGUCAGCUCGUGUCGUGAGAUGUUGGGUUAAGUCCCGCAACGAGCGCAACCCUUGUCAUUAGUUGCUACGAAAGGGCACUCUAAUGAGACUGCCGGUGACAAACCGGAGGAAGUGGGGAUGACGUCAAGUCCUCAUGGCCCUUAUAGGUGGGGCUACACACGUCAUACAAUGGCUGGUACAAAGGGUUGCCAACCCGCGAGGGGGAGCCAAUCCCAUAAAGCCAGUCGUAGUCCGGAUCGCAGUCUGCAACUCGACUGCGUGAAGUCGGAAUCGCUAGUAAUCGUGGAUCAGCAUGUCACGGUGAAUACGUUCCCGGGCCUU